CUGUGGAUUAGAAAUUUAAAUUUUAUAAACAAAACAAAGUUUUUAUUUUUCAGGUUUUAAAGAGAAUUUAGAAAUUCAGCAAAGUUUUACUAAAUUAUAGUGAUCUUAGGAGCAAAGUUUACUUCGUUUGUGUUAUUGUUAAUCAAAAAUAUAAAAGUAAACAAAAAAGAAAAACUACCUCUAUCUAAUUUUGUCGAUGUCCAUUUCUUAAGAAGUUUCUCAUUAAAACAACCCUUAACUCAGGCAAGGCAGGGCUAAGGUGGUUAGCGUAACUACAAGUGGUUAACUUACAGUUAGCCAACUGAAGAACAAUCAACAAUGCCCGAUUAAUAAGUGAUCGCGCUGCUUGUCUACUACUUGCUGCUUGUCCCUGCACUAGUUAUAGCAGUAAUUUCUUUGUUUGGAAGUAUUUAGCACAUCCGGGCUGCGCAAAAGGAGAGAGUGGGCAUUUCCUCUGUCUCUUAGAAAAGUCCGCAUGUUAUUUUUAUCCCAGUGUUAAUCUCUAAGUCUCGUAUGAAUCGGCACUAAUAUACAUAGGUUUACCUUAGUGUGUGAUUAGUGACUUCACAAACAGACUUAUUAUUAAAGGAUUUGAACAGUUCUCUAGCUCUUUAGGGUGUUUUAUUCCUUCACCAGCCAACAACAGUGUCAUAAUUACAAUGGGUUCGCAGAGUUAGUUUAUCUAGGCAUUUAGAUAUACCAUACAAAAUCCUCUACUGAGAGCAAAAUGUUACUGUUAUAUUUUAUUUUUUAUUCUUUACAAUUUAAACUGAAAAUCCACAACCCUUUCAGUUGCUACACGUCAUCACACCGGAAUGCUAAAUUGCUUGGCCGUAAGUCUCAAUUGGUCCAGCCGGGGAUCAAACACAGGACCUUCGGAACAUUAAUUAUCAUUAACAUCUGAUAGUGGUAUAUUAACACCAUAACUACCAAUCCACAUUGGAGCAGACUAAAUUGAUUAUUAUGAACAGACCAUUAUGAUGAACCACUGAUAUUGACUCAGAGACAUGAAGAUGAGUGCUUUGACAACAAGACUGACUAGCUGAGCCAGCUUAAGAAUUAUGUGGUGUGUGUGUGUGUCUAAUUCCAGGAGUUCUCUAUGUCAGCCAUGCAUCUAUAUUCUUACUCAUUUUUGUUAAUUAUAAAAUAAAUUUGAUUAUUUAGUGUGUAACUUCAUUGUACCUAUCCUGCUAGCUGUUAGAAAGAUAGCAUCUGUAAUAAUUUAUUUACGGUAAAACAUAUUUAAAAAUAAACAUGCUUUAACAUUUAAGUAUGGCCAAUAUGUUGUCAAGUACAGUGGGCAGGGCUGAAUCCAUGAUUGAUGACUGAUCCAUGAUGAUGACUUUUUUUCUGAUUUAAGAAAAUAAUCUAAUCAUCAAAACAGUGUCUGCAAGUACUGUACAGGCUGACUGUUUGGAUGAGAAGUAUAUAUUUGAUUAUUUUUAAGCUUUGUGGUUUCAGGGUUUAAAAAAUGUCUAACUGAAAGACUAUGUUUACUGUAUUUAUUAUUAUUAUAAUAAAUAAACUUAAAAAAUCUUUUUUUUAUAAACUUCCAACCCCUAUUUCACCCUCAGAGGUGUCAUUUUCAUAAUUCUUAGAAUACCAGUAGUCAAGAUACUGUAAUAAAAAGAUACAGUUUGUGAGAUUGUAGGGGUAAACACUGGACCUACUGAACCAAUGUUGAAGAUUAUUUUACCAAUAAAAAUCCACAUUUGAGUAUUAUAGGCCAUGUAUUCCUUCCCACGGGAACAGGAAUUAUGUGGGUGAAACUGCAGGGGGUGAACAUACACAGGUAUUAUAAAUGUAUUUUUUACAACUACACUUUUUUGAAUAAUUUAUUUAAUUAUUGUAAUGGUAAAAAAAAAUAUUAAUAGUAAAAUGUUAAACUGAAAGCUUUAGUUUUGGAAAAGACUACAAAAAACAAACUCAGCGAAGUAAGUAUUCUUUUAUUUUCAAAUAUCAAA